AAAAAGACAAACCCUGGUUUCCGUGUCCAACGUUUAACCGUCCGUCUUAUUUGAAAAAAUUAUAAAAAAAAUUUAAAAGACAAGUCACACAUAAAAUAUUAAUCAUGUUUUAUCAUCUAACAACAAUAAAAAUACAAAUUAUAAAAUAAUUUCAUAUAAGACGGACAGUCAAAGUUAGACACGGAAACCCAGAGUUUGCUUUUUU
rnacentral:pre_miRNA from 1 species